AUGUCGAUCAAAGUUUUAUCAGGAAAGGUAUACCUGUUAAUAACUGGUGCAAGUCGUGGAAUUGGAAGACAAAUUGCGAUAUCAUUUGGUUCAAUGCUGGAAGAAGGUUCUCAUAUUGUCUUGCUAGCAACAAAUUUAAAUGCUUUGAAAGAAACUGCUAAAAAUAUUGCUACCAAUGUAUCUAUUGACACUAUUAGUGUAGAUUUGAGCAAACCAACAAAGGAUGAAUUCCAUAAUAUCAUAAUGCAAUCUCAUAAGAAUAGGACUCCAAAGCAAUUUGAUCGAGUAGUUAUAGUGCACAAUGUUGGCUCAAUGGGAAAUAUUUCGGAUUAUGCAAAUGAUUUGACUGACGUAGACAGUUGGCGUUGUUAUUAUGAUUUAAAUGUUUUUAGUCCUGCUAUAUUAAAUGGAGUUAUUAUGAAAAUAUUUAACGAGGAUACAAAUACUGAAAAAACAAUUAUAAAUAUAACUUCAUUAAUGGCUUUAGAGCCAAGGAAAGGAAUAUGUGUUUAUUCUACUGGAAAGGCAGCACGGGAAAUGUUUUUUAGGGCAUUUGCUUUAGAAAAUCCAGAUGUCGAUGUAUUAAAUUAUUCACCAGGACCAGUUCAAACUGAUAUGUUUAAUGAACUUUGUAACUUUGUUUGUGACAAGGAAACUAAAACACAAUUUGAGAACUUGUUAACACAAAAAUCUGUUUUGACAAGUGAACAAACGGUUAACCGUCUUUUAAGCCUUCUUAAAGAUCAUAAAUAUAAAUCAGGCGAUCAUGUUGACUAUUAUGAUGAAUUAUAAAUUGUAUGCAAAUGUAUUCAUCAAAAUUACUUAAAAUACUCGUUGCCUAAUGGAACAAUAUUAUUUGUGCGAUAGAUAUCUGUAUAAUCUUAUGACAAUAACUCACUAUUUUGUGUCAAUGAUACCAGCCAAACUGGUAAUGGAUAUAAAGGUGGCAUAAAGCGUGAAUAAAUCAUUCCAUAUAAAGAAGCUGCUAUAAGUGGAGUUAAUGUUUCUAUAGAUAUUG